rnacentral:rRNA from 1 species
GACGAACGCUGGCGGCGUGCUUAACACAUGCAAGUCGAGCGGAAAGGCCACUUCGGUGGUACUCGAGCGGCGAACGGGUGAGUAACACGUGAGUAAUCUGCCCUUGGCUUUGGGAUAGCUACCGGAAACGGUGAUUAAUACCGGAUAUGACCACUUCUCGCAUGGGUUGUGGUGGAAAGUUUUUUCGGCCAGGGAUGUGCUCGCGGCCUAUCAGCUUGAUGGUGAGGUAAUGGCUCACCAUGGCUUCGACGGGUAGCCGGCCUGAGAGGGUGGGCGGUCACACGGGGACUGAGACACGGAGCAGACUACUACGGGAGGCAGCAGUGGGGAAUAGUGGACGAUGGGCGGAAGCCUGAUCCAGCAACGCGGCGUGAGUGAUGACGGCCUUCGGGUUGUAAACCUCUUUCGGUAGGGACGAAGCGCAAGUGACGGUACCUGCUAAAGAAGCACCGGCCAACUACGUGCCAGCCGCCGCCGUAACAC